AUGAACGCUGGCGGCGUGCUUUACACAUGCAAGUCGAACGCUGAAGCCCCUUCGGGGGCCGAUGAGUGGCGAACGGGUGAGUAACACGUGGGUAACCUACCUCGCACAUCGGGAUAAGCCCGGGAAACUGGGUCUAAAUACCGAAUAUGACUUAUCACCACAUGGUGGUAAGUGGAAAGUUCCGGCGGUGCGAGAUGGACCCGCGGCCUAUCAGCUUGUUGGUGGGGUAAUGGCCCACCAAGGCGACAACGGGUAGCCGGCCUGAGAGGGUGUCCGGCCACACUGGGACUGA
rnacentral:rRNA from 1 species